UACGGAGGGCGCAAGCGUUGUUCGGAAUUACUGGGCGUAAAGCGCGUGUAGGCGGCUUGGCGAGUCGGCUGUGAAAGCCCGGGGCUCAACCCCGGAGGGUCAGCCGAAACUGCCUCGCUCGAGUCCCGGAGAGGGUGGCGGAAUUUCCGGUGUAGAGGUGAAAUUCGUAGAUAUCGGAAGGAACACCAGUGGCGAAGGCGGCCACCUGGACGGUGACUGACGCUGAGACGCGAAAGCGUGGGGAGCAAACAGG
rnacentral:rRNA from 1 species